rnacentral:rRNA from 1 species
AUUGAACGCUGGCGGCAGGCCUAACACAUGCAAGUCGAACGAGUGGCGGACGGGUGAGUAAUGUCUGGGAAACUGCCUGAUGGAGGGGGAUAACUACUGGAAACGGUAGCUAAUACCGCAUACCAUCGGAUGUGCCCAGAUGGGAUUAGCUAGUAGGUGGGGUAAAGGCUCACCUAGGCGACGAUCCCUAGCUGGUCUGAGAGGAUGACCAGCAACACUGGAAUGGAGACACGGUCCAGACUCUGACGGGAGUCAGCAGUGGGGAAUAUGGCACAAUUGGCGCAAGCCUGAGGUAGCCAUGCCGCGUGUAUGAAGAAGGCCUUCUGGUUGUAAAGUACUUUCAGCGGGGAGGCGUUACCCGCAGAAGAAGCACCGGCUAACUCCGUGCCAGCAGCCGCGGUAAUAC